CCCCCCCAUUUUGAGGCUAAAACCCCCCUUUUUGGGGCCAAGACCCCCCACUUUGGGGCCGAGGUGUCCGUUUUGAGGCCGGGGGCCUCCCCGUUUUGAGGCCGGGACUCCCAGUUUUGGGCCCAGGACCCCUGUUUUGAGGCCGGGGACCCCCUUUUUGGGGGGGCAGGAACACCGCUUUGGGGUCAAAACCCCCCAUUUCGGGGCCAAGACGCCCAUUUUGAGGCCAGGGACCUCUCCAUUUUGAGGCCGGGACUCUCAAUUUUGGGUGCAGAACACUCGUUUUGAGGCCGGAGAGCCCCUUUUUGGGGCUGAGAACCCGAUUUGGGGCCGGGGACCCCCUUUUUGGGGCUCAAAACCCUCCUUUUAGUGCCGGGGACCGCCAUCUGGUGUCGGGGACCCCCCCGUUUUGGGGUCAAACACUCCCGUUUUGGGGUCAGACCCCGCAUUUUGGGGCCGGGGACCCCCUAUUUAUUGCCGCGGGGCCGCGUUUCGGGGCCGUUCCCCUCGGUUUCAGGUUCUCGAUGACUUUCUUCGCCCCCUGCUCCUCGUCUCGCUGCUCUGUCCGGCCGCCGGCGGUUUCGGGGCUCCCCCGGGGGAAUUUGGGUGGUUUUGGGGCUCCCAGGAGGAAUUUGGGUGGUUUUGGGGCUCCCCCUGAAGAGUUUUGGUGGUUUCAAGGCGCCCCUGUGGGGAUUUUGGAGGUUUCGAGGCUCCCCGGGGGGGGGAUUUGGGUGGUUUUGGGGCUCCCCCAUAAAAGUUUUGGUGGUUUCGA
rnacentral:lncRNA from 1 species